GAGUCGACAGAGUUUGAUCCUGGCUCAGGAUGAACGCUGCGGCGUGCUUAACACAUGCAAGUCGAACGAUGAUCCCAGCUUGCUGGGGGAUUAGUGGCGAACGGGUGAGUAACACGUGAGUAACCUGCCCUUGACUCUGGGAUAAGCCUGGGAAACCGGGUCUAAUACUGGAUAUGACCUUCUGGCGCAUGCCAUGUUGGUGGAAAGCUUUAUUGCGGUUUUGGAUGGACUCGCGGCCUAUCAGCUUGUUGGUGGGGUAAUGGCCUACCAAGGCGACGACGGGUAGCCGGCCUGAGAGGGUGGACGGCCACACUGGGACUGAGACACGGCCCAGACUCCUACGGGAGGCAGCAGUGGGGAAUAUUGCACAAUGGGCGCAAGCCUGAUGCAGCGACGCCGCGUGGGGGAUGAAGGCCUUCGGGUUGUAAACCUCUUUCAGUAGGGAAGAAGCGAAAGUGACGGUACCUGCAGAAGAAGCGCCGGCUAACUACGUGCCAGCAGCCGCGGUAAUACGUAGGGCGCAAGCGUUAUCCGGAAUUAUUGGGCCGUAAAGAGCUCGUANGCGGUUUGUCGCGUCUGCCGUGAAAGUCCGGGGCUUAACCCCGGAUCUGCNGUGGGUACCGGCAGACUA
rnacentral:rRNA from 1 species